rnacentral:lncRNA from 1 species
GCACCUAUAUAAACAUGCUUGAUCGAUCGAUCGAGAGACACAUGCAUAGAUCUCAACCAAACCAUAAUAUAUAAUUUUAUUAGCCAAGACUAAGAGACAUAUAAAUUUUAUUUAGUUAUAGCAAUCAAACAAUGGCAAGUUUGGCAACACCUAGGUCUAUUGUGCUCGUAUUUUUUCUCCUCGCAAUAGUUUUCUCCCCAACAAUACCAAUACCAUGUGAGGCAACUCGACUGCCUCAGCGAGGUGCGUAAAUUAACUAUAAAUGCAUUAAUUAAAUAUAAUUAAUUAGUCAAUUAAUAUAUUAGUAAUUAAGUUUUUUGAUUUGUACGUGUGUUUUUAAUUAAUUAAUGAAAUAGUUGUUGAUUUGAAUUAAAUAUACAUGCGCAUGUACAGAGCUACUUCAGAGACGUCCUGAUCCCCCCAUAUGUCCUGCUUGUGUGUGUUGUGCACCUCGGCCAGACCCAUACUCUUGUUGUCCUUGCUUUUGUGAUAAUCCAUCUUCUCCAACCACUUCUCAGUCUCAGAUUGAUAAUGCUUCACCAUGAGAGAUCGAGAUCGAGAUCGAUGCUGCCGCUGCUGUCAGCUUCCAUCUCAACCUAAACCUAGCUAAUAUAGUACUACUAUAUAAUAAUAAUAAUGUGCACUUAAUUUCACAUAAUUAAUUGCACUUUAGUUUACACCAUUAAAUAAUAAUGGACCUACCUGUGUCAUAUUAUUGGGUCUUAAUUACUACUACUGUUAGCUUGAUAUGUGAUUAAUUGAUAAAAAGUUUAUUAUCUAAACUUUUGUCUGUUUUAUUGUAUCUUUAAUGUACGUACGUACGAAAUUAAUUAAUAAAUAUAAAUAAAAUCAUAUAUUGUGUGUGUUGUUAUAACUUUCCUUUCCUUUACUUACUCCUUUAGUUUCCA